UUACUUUGGCAGAGAAUAUGCGUUAAAUUUAGAAUUUAGUUAUAUAGAAUAGCCUAUAAGUAAAAG
rnacentral:tRNA from 1 species